GGCGCGGAGGCGUGCUUCCCCGGCGGCAGCAGCAACCUACAAGCAAAGGGCGACGGCGGCGGCGCUUGAUUCAAUCUGCAGGAGAGAGUGAAGAUGAGAAGGAGAAGAAGGAAGGAGAGGAGGGAGAAAGAGAGAGGAAAUAGGAGAGGGAGGCGGCGUCUAAUGGGAGAGGGUCAGUGCGGUGGUGCGGCGUGCGGUGGCCUCAGCGGGUGGGUGACGCCAGACAGCUCCUGUGCCUUAAUCCUCUCCUUGCCGGCACAACAAGAGUAGGAGCAAGGAUGCCGAGGUAGUUCAGUAUGUGGUCUGAUAUUUCAAGACUGGAAGCCAAGAUCAAAAUAAUGGAUGUCCAAUAUUUGCAGCAAAAGAUCAAGAGUUGGCCACUUUGACCCGAACGGAGCCCCAAAACACUGCCGGCUUCUGAAAUGUAUACCAUCUUCGAGGGAGUACGAAAGUUAGUCUCUGUUGCUUCUGGUAUCAAUUUACUAUAUUACUGCAAAGAAUGACGAUGUGGUUGAGUUCAUCCUCUUAGAGAAGAUGUAUGCUUUAGCAACUCUUUUCCAGAUCGCAAUUCUACAAAAACAUAAAGUCUUGUGGAUGUGCAGGCCGACCGCGGACGCUUUGUGCUCUCCACCGGCCAUGGAUGCAUGCUCCAGUACGCUCCACUCCAACUCGCCGGAUACCAAGGCAUUACGGGAUGGGUUAGGGUUUGCUGCUGGAUCCAGCGUUUUUCUGUUGAUGGUUGUCGUCUGCUCGUGCUCUCUAUUGUCGGACUGCUGGGAUCUGCCGUUGUUGUGGUUGGCUCGACAGUUAUGAUUUUUGUCGAUGGUCCCAUUGCAGUUGGUCAGUUCAUUUGAAGCAAAAGAAAGGCAUGCAGACUUGGAUAUCCGAUUAAAAGGUAUACAUUCAUUGAGUUCAGGAGCGGAAUGAUGUGCCACCUACAGGAAGAAACUGUAGUCAAGAAGAACGUGAUCAUUUGAGAAGUACGAUAAGGUACAUAACGUUCAGCCUGAAAUGGUGUUGGUGCUUUGUGAAAAGUUUGGCCACCUGAACCUGACAUUUUCUAUUGGAGAGCAGAUCAGUUCUAAUGGCGUAAUUUUGAUCGCAAUGACAUCGAUGGCGCCGAGAGGAGGCAAAGCGGCAAGACGUGUUUUGCCGUGCUGGGUCGAACGCCGGCCAGAACGUGUCACCGACAUGUGCUGGGUUGCUGGUCGAUUUCUUGCUUUGCGUACAGUUCACCAGCGGAUUAUGGGUAAGAAUGGACUAAAGAAGGAUGAUGUUGGAGAUCUGAAAAUAAUUUUUGGUUGUUGGAAAAUAAAAAAUCUACACGGGAAGACCUCGGCAAAUACUUUCAGCAACAAAGAAACAAAGUUGACCACCCCGUCAUCACGGUGAGCAAGCUGACAUCCUGCUCUGCUUCUUGAUGCGGUUCGGCAUGAUGGCGGCGCAGAUAAAGGCCUUCUUCGACUCCAACGGUGGCCUCUGGCAGUACCAGAGCAUCUCGGGCAAUCCCACGGGCAUCUUCUUUGCCAUGGGCACCCAGGGCAGGCAAGCGAAGACUCAGACCAUCGCCACCUGUCGUCUACAUUGAUGCUGGCGAGAGAAAAAAUAUAAGGAGCUACACAACCAAAUUGGAUCCCCAUCAACAUCAGGACAAACAUUGAAGACAUCAAAGAAAGGAUAUCAAAGGAGAAGGAGGUAUUCCGAAAAAAGGAGAAGGAAGGCCUGGUCUGCUUUAUGAAUGGACACUCUUCCUGCUACAAAUGUGGCCAACAUGAUCAAUUCAGAUAUAGAAAUUAUGCCACCAAUUGUUCAUGGUUGUGCACUGAAUAGAUGUUCCUCUACUUGUAAUAAACAUAUUUUCCUUUGUUUAUGCAUUAAUGGAUAUGAUAUAAUUAGCUGUCCAAUUGUCAUUUCAGUAUCA